GACUGUGCAGGCUGUCCGACCGGGCGCCCCCAGCGCCCCCCUCUGGUGGGAAAACGAACUCCUCUCCCUGGGGCCGGGUCACGUAAAUAGGACUGGGUCCGGCCUCCUCACCCUGACCCCACAAGGACCCUGAUAUCUGUCUACUCCAGUAAAUUCUGAGGGUUCCCAAACACAGCCCUGAGGCGUGGCCAUCAUUUCCUGGACUUCGGGACCUGACUUUGUGAAGACUUCUUUUGGGAACCUCGGAGAGCUCCGAGGCGACCCCGGCCCAGGAGGAAAAGGAGUGGAAGGAUAUGGAACAACUAGCUAACAUUUGUUAUCUCGGGAGAGGAAAGUGGAAUUGGGUGGUGGCCAAGAGGAACAAAAGCUGAGCAGGCCCAGAAAACAAGGAAGGAAGUGGCUGACCACCUGGCUGCUGUGAAAGAUAAACGAGCUGGGAUCUGAGUGGAACAUGUUAUCGGAGAAGACUACCUCGUGGAGGCCGUGGAGAUCCUGGAGCUGUACUGUGACCUGCUGCUGGCUCGGUUCAGCUUGAUCCAGGCCACAAAGUGAGACCUGUUGAACUUGCAUCACUGGCAGGCUCAAAGGAAUGACAAGGCAUCCCUGCCACCUAGUGAGGGAGGGGGUGGUCUCUAACUUGUUGGGACUGUGUCAAAGAACACCGUCUCUACUUAAUGGAGAACUAGUCCUGCUUGACAAGAACAUGUCAGUCCACAGAGCCAUUUUUAAAACCAAAUAGUUGUGUUUUCCCCCCUGAGCUGUAAAGACAUAGUAUAAAUAUGUAGAAAAGUUGGGAAAUACAAAAAAGA